CCUAACACAUGCAAGUCGAACGGUAACAGGAAGAAGCUUGCUUCUUUGCUGACGAGUGGCGGACGGGUGAGUAAUGUCUGGGAAACUGCCUGAUGGAGGGGGAUAACUACUGGAAACGGUAGCUAAUACCGCAUAACGUCGCAAGACCAAAGAGGGGGACCUUCGGGCCUCUUGCCAUCGGAUGUGCCCAGAUGGGAUUAGCUAGUAGGUGGGGUAACGGCUCACCUAGGCGACGAUCCCUAGCUGGUCUGAGAGGAUGACCAGCCACACUGGAACUGAGACACGGUCCAGACUCCUACGGGAGGCAGCAGUGGGGAAUAUUGCACAAUGGGCGCAAGCCUGAUGCAGCCAUGCCGCGUGUAUGAAGAAGGCCUUCGGGUUGUAAAGUACUUUCAGCGGGGAGGAAGGGAGUAAAGUUAAUACCUUUGCUCAUUGACGUUACCCGCAGAAGAAGCACCGGCUAACUCUGUGCC
rnacentral:rRNA from 1 species